CCUACGGGUGGCAGCAGUGAGGAAUAUUGGUCAAUGGGCGUACGCCUGAACCAGCCAAGUCGCGUGAGGGAUGAAGGUUCUAUGGAUCGUAAACCUCUUUUAUCAGGGAAUAACGCGUGGGACGUGUACUGUUUCGUAUGUACCUUAUGAAUAAGGAUCGGCUAAACCCGGGCCAGCAACCCCCGUAAUUCGGAGGAUGCGAGCGGUAUCCGGAUUUAUUUGGUUUAAAGGGCUCGUGAGCGGUAAGUCAAGGUAAGGGUGAAAUCCCCGCGCUCAACGUGGGCACUGCCUUUGAAACUGGCGAACUUGAGUGUGUGAGAGGAUAGUGGAAUUCGAGGUGUAGGAGUGAAAUCCAUAGAUAUCUGGAAGAACAUCGGUGGCGAAGGCAACAAUCUGGCACAUAACUGACGCUGAAGAGCGAAAGCGUGGGUAGCGAACAGGAUUAGAUACCCUGGUAGUC
rnacentral:rRNA from 1 species